CUUUGCUUCUGAAUGAUGUGAUAGACAUCACCUUGAUUAUGAUCAUUAUAUCCAGGUUGUGUUAGAGGAGUCAUAUCCUGAGCUCUAACAGAUGGUCCAUCAGCGCUUUCCUUUGGCUGAACAACCUGUUGCUGGGAAGAAGAUUCUGUUCCCGUCCGCACAUUCAGUCUGUUGCACUUAAUCGGGUAAAUAGGAGUUUGCAUGUGGAUUCUCUUUGACUGACCUUUUCCUUUGAACAGUUCCUUUUUCCAAAUAAGAGUUCAUCCCGUCUGACACUCUUGAGCUAUUUCUUGAUUCAAGUACAUUGAUUUUUGCAUUGGUGGCUCCCAGUUCAGUCUCUAGUUCCAGUUGUUCUUCCUGCGCCUCCAGGUCAUGCAUUUUCUGCAGAGCGGCGACCCGUUCGAAUCCAAUGCAACAUCGCCAUCUUGUGACCGAACGUCAGACUUGACUAAGGACACGUUUGUUCCGCUCUAAGUGAUCCAGUAAACCGCACUGAAGGCAGAAUGCGUCGAGCGGCUUAUAUUGUAGUGAGAGUCAACGAGAUUCAGUGUUGCGGUUUCUGGUCCUAUAGCUUUUCCAAUAAAGCUUAGUGUUGCACGUAC